GUGCCAGCCGCCGCGGUAAUACGAAGGGGGCUAGCGUUGCUCGGAAUUACUGGGCGUAAAGGGCGCGUAGGCGGCCGAUCAAGUCAGGCGUGAAAUUCCCGGGCUCAACCUGGGGGCUGCGCUUGAGACUGGUUGGCUAGAGGCCGAGAGAGGGUGGUGGAAUUCCCAGUGUAGAGGUGAAAUUCGUAGAUAUUGGGAAGAACACCGGUGGCGAAGGCGGCCACCUGGCUCGGUACUGACGCUGAGGCGCGACAGCGUGGGGAGCAAACAGGAUUAGAAACCCUGGUAGUCC
rnacentral:rRNA from 1 species